rnacentral:rRNA from 1 species
UAUACAUGCAAGUCGAACGAACUUCCGUUAAUUGAUUAUGACGUACUUGUACUGAUUGAGAUUUUAACACGAAGUGAGUGGCGAACGGGUGAGUAACACGUGGGUAACCUGCCCAGAAGUAGGGGAUAACACCUGGAAACAGAUGCUAAUACCGUAUAACAGAGAAAACCGCAUGGUUUUCUUUUAAAAGAUGGCUCUGCUAUCACUUCUGGAUGGACCCGCGGCGUAUUAGCUAGUUGGUGAGGUAAAGGCUCACCAAGGCAGUGAUACGUAGCCGACCUGAGAGGGUAAUCGGCCACAUUGGGACUGAGACACGGCCCAGACUCCUACGGGAGGCAGCAGUAGGGAAUCUUCCACAAUGGACGCAAGUCUGAUGGAGCAACGCCGCGUGAGUGAAGAAGGGUUUCGGCUCGUAAAGCUCUGUUGUUAAAGAAGAACGUGGGUAAGAGUAACUGUUUACCCAGUGACGGUAUUUAACCAGAAAGCCACGGCUAACUACGUGCCAGCAGCCGCGGUAAUACGUAGGUGGCAAGCGUUAUCCGGAUUUAUUGGGCGUAAAGCGAGCGCAGGCGGUCUUUUAAGUCUAAUGUGAAAGCCUUCGGCUCAACCGAAGAAGUGCAUUGGAAACUGGGAGACUUGAGUGCAGAAGAGGACAGUGGAACUCCAUGUGUAGCGGUGAAAUGCGUAGAUAUAUGGAAGAACACCAGUGGCGAAGGCGGCUGUCUGGUCUGCAACUGACGCUGAGGCUCGAAAGCAUGGGUAGCGAACAGGAUUAGAUACCCUGGUAGUCCAUGCCGUAAACGAUGAUUACUAAGUGUUGGAGGGUUUCCGCCCUUCAGUGCUGCAGCUAACGCAUUAAGUAAUCCGCCUGGGGAGUACGACCGCAAGGUUGAAACUCAAAAGAAUUGANGGGCCCGCACAGCG